rnacentral:rRNA from 1 species
CAGCAGCCACGGUAAUACCAGCAGCCCAAGUGGUGGUCGCGAUUAUUGGGCCUAAAGCGCUCGUAGCCGGGCCGGUAAGUCCCUUGUGAAAUCGGACGGCCUAACCGUUCGGCGUGCAAGAGAUACUGUCGGUCUUGAGGCCGGGAAACGUCCGAGGUACUCCGGGGGUAGCGGUGAAAUGUUCUGAUCCUCGGGGGACCACCGGUGGCGAAGGCGUUCGACGAGAACGGGCCUGACGAUGAGGGGCGAAGGCUAGGGGAGCAAACGGGAUUAGAUACCCGUGUAGUCCCUGUCUCUUAUU